rnacentral:snRNA from 1 species
AUACUUACCUGGUAGGAAAGAUGCCAUGAUCAUGAAGGUGGCUUUUUUCAGGGUGAGGCUUGUCCAUUGCGUUCCGAAUGUGCUGAUCCCUGCGAUUUCCCCAAGUGUGGGUAACUCAACUGCAUAGGUUGUAGUAGUGGGGGACUGCGUUCGCGCUCUCCCCUG